rnacentral:tRNA from 1 species
GGCUUAGACGGUAAAGCGUCUGCCUGCAGUGCAGAAGACCAGGGUUCAAUCCCUG